AGUGAACGCUGGCGGUAGGCCUAACACAUGCAAGUCGAACGGCAGCACAGUAAGAGCUUGCUCUUACGGGUGGCGAGUGGCGGACGGGUGAGGAAUACAUCGGAAUCUACUUGUUCGUGGGGGAUAACGUAGGGAAACUUACGCUAAUACCGCAUACGACCUACGGGUGAAAGCAGGGGAUCUUCGGACCUUGCGCGAUUGAAUGAGCCGAUGUCGGAUUAGCUAGUUGGCGGGGUAAAGGCCCACCAAGGCGACGAUCCGUAGCUGGUCUGAGAGGAUGAUCAGCCACACUGGAACUGAGACACGGUCCAGACUCCUACGGGAGGCAGCAGUGGGGAAUAUUGGACAAAGGGCGCAAGCCUGAUCCAGCCAUACCGCGUGGGUGAAGAAGGCCUUCGGGUUGUAAAGCCCUUUUGUUGGGAAAGAAAAGCAGCAGGUUAAUACCCCGCUGUUCUGACGGUACCCAAAGAAUAAGCACCGGCUAACUUCGUG
rnacentral:rRNA from 1 species